rnacentral:rRNA from 1 species
CCCUUAGACGUUCUGGGCCGCACGCGCGCUACACUGACGGAGCCAGUGAGUAUAAACCUUGGCCGAGAGGUCUGGGAAAUCUUGUGAAACUCCGUCGUGCUGGGGAUAGAGCAUUGUAAUUAUUGCUCUUCAACGAGGAAUUCCUAGUAAGCGCAAGUCAUCAGCUUGCGUUGAUUACGUCCCUGCCCUUUGUACACACCGCCCGUCGCUACUACCGAUUGAAUGGCUUAGUGAGGCUUCCGGAUUGGUUUAGAGAAGGGGGCAACUCCAUCUUGGAACCGAGAAGCUAGUCAAACUUGGUCAUUUAGAGGAAGUAAAAGUCGUAACA